rnacentral:rRNA from 1 species
UACGGAGGAGGCAAGCGUUAUCCGGAAUUAUUGGGCGUAAAGCGUCCGCAGGUGGCUAUUCAAGUCUGCGGUCAAAGACUGGGGCUUAACCCUGGAAAGGCCGUGGAAACUGAAGAGCUAGAGUGCAGUAGGGGUAGAGGGAAUUCCCGGUGUAGCGGUGAAAUGCGUAGAGCUCGGGAAGAACAUCGGUGGCGAAAGCGCUCUGCUGGACUGCAACUGACACUCAGGGACGAAAGCGAGGGGAGCGAAUGGG